AUACGGAGGGUGCAAGCGUUAAUCGGAAUUACUGGGCGUAAAGCGCGCGUAGGCGGUUUGGUAAGUCGGAUGUGAAAGCCCCGGGCUCAACCUGGGAAUUGCAUUCGAUACUGCCGAACUAGAGUAUGGUAGAGGGAAGUGGAAUUUCCGGUGUAGCGGUGAAAUGCGUAGAUAUCGGAAGGAACACCAGUGGCGAAGGCGACUUCCUGGGCCAAUACUGACGCUGAGGUGCGAAAGCGUGGGGAGCAAACAGGAUUAGAUACCCCAGUAGUCC
rnacentral:rRNA from 1 species